CUCGAGGCCAGAUCUAGAGUUUGAUCCUGGCUGAGGACGAACGCUGGCGGCGUGCCUAACACAUGCAAGUCGUACGAGGACGGCCCUUCGGGGUCGAGCCGAGUGGCGGACGGGUGAGUAACACGUGACCAACCUACCUUCGAGAGGGGGAUAACCUGGGGAAACCCGGGCUAAUACCGCAUGACAUGCCUUGGUCGCAUGGCCUUGGCAUCAAAGGGAGGCCUCUACUUGUAAGCUUUCGCUCGGGGAGGGGGUCGCGCCGUAUCAGCUUGUUGGUAGGGUAACGGCCUACCAAGGCUACGACGCGUAGCGGGUCUGAGAGGACGACCCGUCACAUUGGGACUGAGAUACGGCCCAGACUCCUACGGGAGGCAGCAGUGGGGAAUAUUGCGCAAUGGCCGCAAGGCUGACGCAGCGACGCCGCGUGUGGGAGGAAGCCCUUCGGGGUGUAAACCACUGUCAGGGGGGACGAACCCCGGACGGGCGAAUAGCCCGGACGGCUGACGGUACCUCCAGAGGAAGCACCGGCUAACUCCGUGCCAGCAGCCGCGGUAAGACGGAGGGUGCAAGCGUUGUUCGGAAUUACUGGGCGUAAA
rnacentral:rRNA from 1 species